UCCUCAUUAGAGGAUUAAAGUUAAUUGCUUUAUCUCUUAUUGCUUUAAUUAGAGGUUCAAUUGCUUUAAAUUCCUUGAUGUUAACAUGUCAGAGGACCUGCUGGUAACCAGCAUUUAAGUGGCAUCAUAAAUAAAGGCACAAUAAAGGCUAAGGCGGGAGGAGGAGAUGGCAGCAUGCUGCGCGUGUGCAGCUCUCCGGUGAAAAUGAUAUCGUAUCCGUUAAAUAGGGGCCUUGGACAAUUCUGAUUUGAUGGAGAAUGGACGUGAAAGAACAGAGGAACAUUUGGAGAAAUUUCUGAAACGCCCGUUCGCUGCUGUCGUUACUGUGCGGUCGUGAGUCUUUCGGAGGGUAGGCCUCAAAAUCCCCGGCCUUGCCUGCUUUUGGCGACCGAGAAGGAGGUCGAAUUGUUCGGACAGAAAUGGCGCUCGGUACUUGGUGUUGGAGAGCUGAUCAGAGCUCGAAGUUUUCAGAUGACUCAGAGUCGGAUUGUGGUCAGCAUAGCAGGGAGAGUUUUUCUUCCUUCUCCCGUCUGCGUGAGAUGUGGGGCAUUUGAGAAACUUUGAACUUUACUGUGCUCACAGACUUCUUCAUCAAGUUAUGGUCACCAAAAACUUCGACAAGCUUCUAUAGAUGCAGAGUGGACAGUAUCGUAACUGGUUGCAUCGUGGCCUGGUAUGGAAACACCAAAGCCCAAGAAUGGAAAACACUACAUAAAGUGUUGGACUUUGGAGACAACAUCCCAUAACUGCAUUCGAGGAAUAAUAAUCACGUAGCAUGGAAACAAGUUCUUUGGCCCACUGAGCCUGCUCCAACAAUCAAUCACCCAAUGAAGUGGAUAGUUGCAAACAUAACAGAUUUAAAGCUUACUUAACAUUUGUGCAAUAGGUAUUUCUUCUCAUGAAUGCAUCUGAUUUCAACGGAGUUGCUGAGCCAGAAAAAUCUUUUCAAUGGUAUGUGCAAGUUCAGAUGAGAAUAAUCCUGUCUAUCGAAUGAUUUCUCUGAGAUGAUGAACUAAAUUUAUGUGGGGAUUUUAAAAUGAGGUCAAGGAUCUUGGGAGUUAUUUUCUUGCAAUACGGAUAGCAGUGGAACUGCAUUCAAUAUUUAGGAACUAUGCAAGUGGAAUGCCCAGUAAGGAUCAAGUUGAAGUUUGUCAUCAUCAGAUGUACAUAUAUACAACCAAACGAAACAACGUUCCUCCAGACCACAGUGCAGCUACAAAAUCAUGUAUCACACACAGUACAUAAAACAAAAUUUUACCACAAAUAAGAUGAUAAAAUAUAAUUUGAAGUACAUGUAGUGUACAGCACAGGUAAACAGCAAAGAGUAAACAAUAAUCAGUACAGUAAACAGCUUGAUGUCCUAGUGACGAGACCUUGGUGGUGGCAGAGUAUUCAUUAGUCUCACAGUCUCAGGGAAGAGACCUUUACCCAGUCUGCAGCCAUAGUCCUGAUGCUCGUGUAUCUUCUUCCUGAUGAUAAUAAAUCAAAGCAUUUCUAGGGUGGAUAGAAGGGAUCUUCAACGCUUCAGGCCCUUUGUAUACAAUGCUUCUCGUAAAUUGUUAUGGGUUGCCUGCCAAUCCUGAUGGUUAGGUCACAAAUGUUUCAUCAUCACUCAAGGUACCAGCAUUAGUGCAUGAUUGAGUGUCGUUUCUGCUGGGUGCUUGCAUUUGUAUUGGCCCGGCUCAUUGUUCCAAUUGGUUGGCUGUCGUGCUGGCCACUAGUUUCCACUGGGUCCUGGUCAACCAGAUAGCUGAAUGAUCUCCGCUGGCCCAUAUCUCUGGUUAUUGGUUGGUGUGAGCGUUGGUUCCUCAGGUAUCUGUGGCCCAUGGCUCACUUCUCAUUCUCUAUCCUGCAGAUGCAUAGGUUCAUAAAUUGAAUCCUAGCAAAUGUCACAAAUAAGGGAUAGGGAAUGGUGAUCCUCUCGACGUUUUUUUACUAUUGUUUGUCGAGUAAAAGUGGACUGAAAAAGGACAACAAGUUGUGUACACUGCCACUCAGUGACUUCAUCCAAGCAUAGCAGGAUGUUUGGGAUUAUCGCUAGCAUGAUUAGUGGGGCAGCUUGGCCAUUUUUUGCUUUUCAAUCAUUUUCCUUUGUAGUUACCAUUAUUUAUUUAGUAAUCUGGCCAGCUCAUUAAGAAAAUCCACAGCAUGGAGUGUUACUUAGCCCUUUUGUUUUUAGAUCUUGUUUCUUAGACCAUUUAAUUGGGAAAAUCCAUAUUGUUCUGAAUUUCUCAUAGUCUUGAGAAAUUAAUAAGCUUUCAAAACUCAAAUGGGACUUCAAAACUGAAAGCAUUGCCUAGUAAUUAUUUUUUGUAACUGGAAUUAUGCCUUGAGGCAAUGUCUCUUUAUAUGAUGACCAUAUCCUAUACUGCAUUUUCAAGCAUUGGUAUUUCUUUCUUAUACUUAGGUUAGCUUAAAUUACCCAUGAUUCCUUAUGUUUUUGUCAGGA